rnacentral:rRNA from 1 species
UGGGGAAUAUUGGACAAUGGGGGCAACCCUGAUCCAGCAAUGCCGCGUGUGUGAAGAAGGCCUUCGGGUUGUAAAGCACUUUUAUCGGGAACGAAACAUUGUCGGUGAAUAUCCGGCAAGACUGACGGUACCCGAGGAAUAAGCACCGGCUAACUUCGUGCCAGCAGCCGCGGUAAUACGAAGGGUGCAAGCGUUACUCGGAAUUACUGGGCGUAAAGGGUGCGUAGGUGGUUUUUUAAGUCUGCUGUGAAAUCCCCGGGCUCAACCUGGGAAUGGCAGUGGAUACUGGAAAGCUGGAGUGCGGUAGAGGGUAGUGGAAUUCCCGGUGUAGCAGUGAAAUGCGUAGAGAUCGGGAGGAACACCAGUGGCGAAGGCGGCUACCUGGACCAGCACUGACACU